UACGAGGGGGGCGAGCGUUGUUCGGAAUUAUUGGGCGUAAAGCGCGCGUAGGCGGCUACUUAAGUCGGAUGUGAAAGCCCUUGGCUCAACUGAGGAAGUGCACCCGAAACUGAGUGGCUUGAGUACCAAAGAGGGUCGCGGAAUUCCCGGUGUAGAGGUGAAAUUCGUAGAUAUCGGGAGGAACACCGGUGGCGAAGGCGGCGACCUGGGUGGAUACUGACGCUGAGGCGCGAAAGCGUGGGGAGCAAACAGG
rnacentral:rRNA from 1 species